AUGCCGCUGCUAGCCCAAACUGCUAAAACCCUAUUCCUUUCCCGCCUCCCGCCUCCGACUUCGCCUCGCCUCCACCUCCACCGCGCCACCGCCACCGCUGCCGGCGGGAGGGGCGACGGUGCGGCGUCGGCGGCGUCCGGCACGUCGGCCAGGGACCGGCGGCUGGCCAGGGUGCGGGAGGAGCGGCGCCGCCGCGAGUACGACCGCGAGCACACCUACCCCGGCUGGGCCAGGGUCCUGGAGAACGCCUGCAGGGAUGACGAGGAGAUGCGCUCCAUCCUCGGCGACAGCAUCGGGAACCCGGAGCUCAUGAAGCAGAGGAUACAAGAGAGGGUGCGCGCGAAAGGCAGGGAGGGGUUCAACAGACCCAAGACGGGCUCCGUUGCCGCGUUCAAAGUCAGCUUCCGAGACUUCAACCCAUUAAAUGCUUUCAUCUGGUUUGAACUCUUUGGAGAACCAACUGAUCGAGAUGUUGACCUUCUUGGCGGUGUUAUUCAGGCUUGGUAUGUCAUGGGAAGGCUAGGAGCUUUCAACUCUUCAAAUUUGCAGCUGGCCAACUCAAUGCUGGAUUUUGACCCUUCGUAUGAUUCUGAAGAAGCUUCUGCUGUAAUGCCUUCAUCUUUCCAUGAUAUCAGUGAUGUCGAGUUUCAAGACAAUUGGGGCAGAGUAUGGGUGGACCUUGGGACUUCAGAUCAUCUUGGAUUGGAUGUACUACUGAACUGUCUUACACAAUUAAGCUCAGAGCAUUUGGGCAUCAAACAGGUGGUUUUUGGCGGCAGAAAAUUGGGCGACUGGGAGGAAGGCAUGACGAGCUCGGACUAUGGAUACAAGCACUUCAAAAUAUAG
rnacentral:rRNA from 1 species